rnacentral:rRNA from 1 species
CUGGUUGAUCCUGCCAGUGGUCAUAUGCUCGUCUCAAAGACUAAGCCAUGCAUGUCCAAGUUCACAUCAAUUUGAUGAAACUGCGAAGCGCUCAGUAAAUCAGUUAUAGUCUAUUCGAUGGUAUACAUAGUGGAUAACUGUGGUAAAUCUAGAGCUAAUACGUGCUAAUAUGCAUUUACUAGCUAGAAACCAACAAGUUGAAUCUAGGUAAAUCGCGAAUCGUAUGGCGCAAGCCGACGAUAAUUCGAUCGAGUUUCUGCUCUAUUAACUAGUUGGUGAGUUCUUUGCUCACCAAGGUGUUAAUGGAUAACGGGGAAUUAGGGUUCGAUUCCGGAGAGGGAGCCUGAGAAACGGCUACCACAUCUAAGGAAGGCAGCAGGCGCGCAAAUUACCCAAUCCAGACAUUGGGAGGUAGUGACGAGAAAUACCGGAGUUAACCUUUUAGGUAAACUAUCGGAAUGAACAUAAUUUAAUACCUUUGUUGAGUAUCUAUUGGAGGGCAAGUCUGGUGCCAGCAGCCGCGGUAAUUCCAGCUCCAAUAGUGUAUAUCAAUAUUGCUGCAGUUAAAAAGCUCGUAGUUGAAUUACAAAGGAUAUUGUCAGAGUAUGUUUUAUAUCAAUAAAAUAUUCUCAUUCAAUUUCCUUUUUAUCGUAAGAGCUAGUAAUGAAAUUCACUUUUUGUUGCUAGUGACUUGCGGAGUGUGCCUUGAAUAAAGCAAAGUGCUCAAUACAAGCGUCCGCUCGAAUGUAGUAGCAUGGUACGAAUAUCGGUGACGCCAAUCCGUGUUGGUUUUGGAUUGGUGUCUAGAUUAAAAGGGACAUUUGAGGGCGUUAGUACUUGGUGGCGAGAGGUGAAAUUCUUAGACCCACCAAAGACUCACUAAUGCGAAAGCGUUCGCCAAGACUGUUUUCAUUAAUCAAGAACGAAGGUUGGAGGUUCGAAGACGAUCAGAUACCGUCGUAGUUCCACACAGUAAACAAUGCCAACUUGAAUUCAGCGUGUAUAAUCAUAUACGUUGGCUUCUCCGGGAAACCAAGUCUUCGGGCUCUGGGGAUAGUAUAGUUGCAAGUCUGAAAUUUAAAGAGAUUGACGGAAGGGCACCACCAGGAGUGGAGCCUGCGGCUUAAUUUGACUCAACACGGGGAAACUCACCAGGUCCGGACAUCGAUAGGAUUGACAGAAUGACAGAUCUUUCAUGAUACGGUGAUUGGUGGUGCAUGGCCGUUCUUAGUUGGUGGAGUGAUCUGUCAGGUUAAUUCCGGUAACGAGCGAGACCACAAUCUCUAAUUGAUUACAUUCCCACUUAUUUCGGGAUUGAUCUUAGAGAGACUACCAAGUUCAACUUGGGGGAAGUGUGGCAAUAACAGGUCUGUGAUGCCCUUCGAUGUUCUGGGCUGCACGCGCGCUACAAUGGCAGCAGCAAAUAGUUGUUUGCUCGAAAGAGUAGACUAAUCAUUAAUUGCUGUCGUGAUCGGGAUUGAGCCUUGUAAUUAUUGCUCAUGAAAGUGGAAUUCCUCGUAAGCGCAAGUCAUCAACUUGUGUUGAAUACGUCUCUGCCCUUUGUACACACCGCCCGUCGCUACUACCAAUUGAAUGAUUCUGCGAGAUCUCAGGAGAGCUAGUACUUGUACCGGCUUGAUCGAGCUCAAGUAGAAUCCUUUAAAGGAAGUAAAAGUCGUAACAAGGUUUCCGUAGGUGAACCUGCGGAAG